GCCGGAAUAGCUCAGGUGGUAGAGCAUCUCAUUCGUAAUGAGGAGGUCGGUGGUUCGAGUCCACUUUCCGGCACCA
rnacentral:tRNA from 2 species